rnacentral:rRNA from 1 species
GACGAACGCUGGCGGCGUGCUUAACACAUGCAAGUCGAACGAUGAAGCCGGAGCUUGCUCUGGUGAAUUAGUGGCGAACGGGUGAGUAACACGUGAGUAACCUGCCCUUGACUCUGGGAUAACUGCGGGAAACUGUAGCUAAUACCGGAUACGACCCUCGGAGGCAUCUCCUGGGGGUGGAAAGAAUUUCGGUCAAGGAUGGACUCGCGGCCUAUCAGCUAGUGGGUGGGGUGAAGGCUCACCAAGGCGACGACGGGUAGCCGGCCUGAGAGGGUGACCGGACACACUGGGACUGAGACACGGCCCAGACUCCUACGGGAGGCAGCAGUGGGGAAUAUUGCACAAUGGGCGCAAGCCUGAUGCAGCAACGCCGCGUGAGGGAUGACGGCCUUCGGGUUGUAAACCUCUUUUAGCAGGGAAGAAGCGAAAGUGACGGUACCUGCAGAAAAAGCACCGGCUAACUACGUGCCAGCCGCCGCAGUAA